UACAGAGGGUGCAAGCGUUGCUCGGAUUUACUGGGCGUAAAGCGUACGCAGACGGCCACGCAGGUCGGGUGUGAAAGCCCCGGGCUCAACCCGGGAAUUGCAUUCGAAACCAUGUGGCUCGAGUGUGGGAGAGGGAAGUGGAAUUCCUGGUGUAGAGGUGAAAUUCGUAGAUAUCAGGAGGAACACCGGCGGCGAAGGCGGCUUCCUGGUCCACAACUGACGUUCAGGUACGAAAGCGUGGGGAGCAAACAGG
rnacentral:rRNA from 1 species